rnacentral:rRNA from 1 species
UGAGGAAUAUUGGUCAAUGGGCGAGAGCCUGAACCAGCCAAGUCGCGUGAAGGAAGACAGUCCUAAGGAUUGUAAACUUCUUUUAUACGGGAAUAACGGGCGAUACGAGUAUUGCAUUGAAUGUACCGUAAGAAUAAGCAUCGGCUAACUCCGUGCCAGCAGCCGCGGUAAUACGGAGGAUGCGAGCGUUAUCCGGAGUUAUUGGGUUUAAAGGGUGCGUAGGUUGUUCGGUAAGUCAGCGGUGAAACCUGAGCGCUCAACGUUCAGCCUGCCGUUGAAACUGCCGGGCUUGAGUUCAGUGGCGGCAGGCGGAAUUCGUGGUGUAGCGGUGAAAGGCAUAGAUAUCACGAGGAACUCCGAUUGCGAAGGCAGCUUGCCAUACUGCGACUGACACUGAAGCACGAAGGCGUGGGUAUCAAACAGG